rnacentral:sRNA from 1 species
AGUCUUCAAAGUUUUUUUUUUUUCAAUUUUUU